UAUUGGACAAUGGGCGCAAGCCUGAUCCAGCCAUGCCGCGUGAGUGAUGAAGGCCUUAGGGUUGUAAAGCUCUUUUGCCGGGGACGAUAAUGACGGUACCCGGAGAAUAAGUCCCGGCUAACUUCGUGCCAGCAGCCGCGGUAAUACGAUGGGGACUAGCGUUGUUCGAAUCACUGGGCGAAAGCGCACGAGGCGGAUCAUUUAGUCAGGGGUAAAUCCCGGGGCUCAACCUCAGACUGCCUUUAUACUAUGGUCUCAGUCCGAUAGAGGUGGGAGAUUCCAGUGAAGGUAAAUUCGAGUUAGAAGAUCCGGUGGCAAGCGGCCACUGGUCGUCUGCGUGAGUGAAAGCUU
rnacentral:rRNA from 1 species